rnacentral:rRNA from 1 species
GAUGAACGCUGGCGGCGUGCUUAACACAUGCAAGUCGAACGGAAAGGCUCCUGCUUGCAGGGGUACUCGAGUGGCGAACGGGUGAGUAACACGUGGGUGAUCUGCCCUGCACUUCGGGAUGAGCCUGGGAAACUGGGUCUAAUACCGGAUAGGACCACAUUUUGGAUGGUGUGGUGGAAAGUUUUUCGGUGUGGGAUGAGCUCGCGGCCUAUCAGCUUGUUGGUGGGGUAAUGGCCUACCAAGGCGUCGACGGGUAGCCGGCCUGAGAGGGUGUACGGCCACAUUGGGACUGAGAUACGGCCCAGACUCCUACGGGAGGCAGCAGUGGGGAAUAUUGCACAAUGGGCGCAAGCCUGAUGCAGCGACGCCGCGUGGGGGAUGACGGCCUUCGGGUUGUAAACUCCUUUCGCUAGGGACGAAGCGCAAGUGACGGUACCUGGAGAAGAAGCACCGGCUAACUACGUG